AUGGCUGUCUACUAUAAGUUCAAGAGUGCCAGAGACUAUGACUCGAUCCCUAUCGAGGGGCAGUUCAUCUCGGUUCUCAACCUCAAGGAGAUGAUUUUUGAGUCCAAGCACCUUGGCAGAGGCACUGAUUUCGACCUCAUGAUCUCGAAUGCCCAGACUGAUGAAGAGUAUGCUGAUGAAUCUAUCAUGAUACCAAAGAACACUUCAGUGUUGAUUCGCCGGAUACCAGGACGCCCAAGGAUGCCAAUCGUUACUGAACCACAAGAGGCAAUAGCUGCAGAAAGUAGGGUAGAAGAAAUCGUGCCUUCUGGCAGCGCUUUUCUUGGUGAUUCAUCUAUGAAAUAUCCUGAAGAAUCUGAGUGGGAUGAUGAGUUCGGCAACUCUUUAUAUGUUUCUGAUUCAGUUCCUUCUCAGCCUGCUAGCCAGGCAAUUGACGCUUCUUCUGAAAAUCAAAUUGACGAAGAUAGUAAGAUAAAAGCCCUUAUUGAUACAGUGGCCGUUGACUAUAGCCAAAUUCCUGAUGGCUAUGGAUCCGGAAGAGGUUAUGGCAGAGGAAUGGGUGGGAGAAUGAUGGCUGGGCGUGGUUUUGGACGUGGGAUGGGUCGGCUAGAUAACAGGUCACCUCCUCCUGGCUAUAUUUGUCAUAGAUGUAAAGUACCAGGUCAUUUCAUUCAACAUUGCCCAACAAAUGGUGAUACUAGAUAUGACGUUAGAAGGAUGAAACCUCCAACUGGCAUCCCAAAAUCCAUGUUAAUGGCAACUCGAGAUGGCUCAUAUGCACUGCCAAGUGGGGCUGGUGCUGUUUUGAAGCCAAAUGAAGCUGCUUUUGAGAGGGAGAUAGAGGGCCUACCCACCACCCGAUCUCUCAGUGAUCUCCCGCCAGAGUUGCGUUGCCCGUUAUGUAAAGAAGUAAUGAAGGAUGCCGUUCUAACUAGUAAAUGCUGCUUUAAGAGUUUCUGUGAUAAAUGCAUUAGGGACUACAUAAUUAGCAAGUCAAUGUGUGUCUGUGGUGCCACAAGCAUAUUAGCAGACGAUCUUCUCCCCAAUAAAACUCUAAGAGAAACCAUCAGUCGCAUAUUAGAGGCACCACCAACUAGCAGUACAGAAAACGCGGGAAGCAUGGUGCAAAUACAGGACAUGGAGUCGGCUCUACCUGUACCACCCAAGGUUAGGUCUCCUGCUGUUUCUGCUGCUUCAAAAGAAGAACCUAAAGCACUGAUGCCAGUAGAGGAAUCACCAGACGCUGAGAGCCAGAGCGGAUUGAAAGCUAACAUUGAUGUGAGUUCUUCAGAUAAUAAGGUUACCACAAUUCCAGAUAUCACUGAAGCGACAAUGGACUCUAAGAACAGCAAAAAGGAAAAAACACCAGAAAUGAUUCAUGUCGCAAAAGAGUCACAGGAAAAAUUGCCUGCAGGCGAACAAGCAGUAAAGAAGAAAAAGAAGAAGAAGGUGCGAGCACCAGGGAAUGCCGAGGAGCAAUGGAAUAAUAAUUAUCAAGAUUUUGGACCUGAAAAUUUUGCUGGAAUGCCUUUGGGCCCGCAAGGAGGUUUUAACCCUUACUGGGGAGGAGGGAUGCCAUUGCCAAUAGAUUACAUGGGUGCACCAUUUCCAGGUCCCAUGCCUUACAUGGGCUAUCCUCCACCAGGUCCAUUUGAUCCUUUUGGUGGGGGAGUUCUUCCACAAGAUCCAUUUAUGCCCCCGGCAUACAUGAUGCCAACAGUUCCUAGGGACCUUUCUGAAUUAGCUGUUAACAGUAUGGGAAUGAACAUGGGGCCACCAGUUGUGAGAAGAGACGAAUUUCAGCUCAGGAAACCAGAUGGGAGGAGACAUGAAAUGGAUCGAUUAAACGGAAGGGACCGGGACCGGGAUCGGGAUCGGGAGCAUGAACAUUCCCGCGAGAGGGAAAGGGAGCGGGAGAGGGAGAGGCAGAGGGAGCGAGACCGUGAUGGUGAUCGAGAUCGAGACAGAGACCGGGGCAGGGAGUAUCGAAGGGAAGCAAGGGAAUCAUCAGGAGCCGUAAACGAUAGUACAUCGAUGAGACCUAAGGAUAGGUCGAGGCCCCAGGCGGACAGGUCGGAGCGCGCACUGCCGCCGCCGCCACACAGCCCCGACCGGCACUCGCGUCGCUCCCCGCACCGCUCCUCCAGCUCCGGCAAGAAGCGCUCCUCGUCCGACCACUACGACGACCUGCCCCUCCCGCCUCCGCCGCCACCGGCGUCGCGACACGAGGCAGAGCACGCGAAGGCGGCGGCUGCUGCUGCAGCAGACCAGCGGUCCAAGGCCAAGGCCAGCGUCUUCUCCCGCAUCAGCUUCCCCGGCGAGGCCAAUACCUCCGACCCCAAGCGCAGCCGCAGGUCGUCCUCCGACAAGCGCCCUGCAUCCUCGUCGUCUUCAUCCAAGAGAAGCGUCGCUGCCGCCGCAGCUGCCGAGGAGAGCGACAGCCGUCACCACCAUCAGGAGACGGUCUUGGCGGCGGAGGAGGAGAGGCGGAGACCCGCGCCUACGGAGUACGACGACGAGGAGCAGUCGAGCGAGGAGGAGAAGCAUUUCAAGAGGAGGCCGUCGUCCUCCAGGCGGGAGGGGGAGCGCUCGCGGCAGCACGAGGAGCCGCGGCACUCGCGGCGGUCUAGGGAGCGCGGGGACGGCCACCACCACAACCACAGCCACAGCGGUGGCGCACACAAGCGCCGGUGA
rnacentral:rRNA from 1 species